CCUACGGGUGGCAGCAGUGGGGGAUAUUGCACAAUGGGGGAAACCCUGAUGCAGCGACGCCGCGUGUGGGAAGACGGUCCUCUGGAUUGUAAACCACUGUCCCCAGGGACGAAGAUGACGGUACCCGAAGAAAAAGCAUCGGCUAACUCCGUGCCAGCAGCCGCGGUAAUACGGAGGAUGCGAGCGUUAUCCGGAUUUAUUGGGUUUAAAGGGUGCGCAGGCGGAGGUGAAAGUCAGCGGUCAAAUUGCGGGGCUCAACCCCGUACUGCCGUUGAAACUGCAUCCCUUGAGGGCGCGAGAAGCAGGCGGAAGGCGGGGUGAAGCGGGGAAAUGCAUAGAUAUCACGCAGAACUCCGAUUGCGAAGGCAGCAUACCGGGGCGCAACUGACGCUCAUGCACGAAAGCGUGGGUAUCGAACAGGAUUAGAGACCCGAGUAGUC
rnacentral:rRNA from 1 species